UGACAGAGAACUUGUUCUGAUUGGAAAAAAUUUCACACCCACUGAAAAGCUAUGGUUGCAACAAACACAGUAAAGCGAACGAGGUUCAAGAGCAUCUAAUACUGCCUUCUUUCUCUCCUAUGGGUUGUCAUUUGUAAAGACUAAAGACUAGGUAGCUACAGAAACCAACCACAUUUUCAUUUUCCCGAUCAAAUUGAGAGACCAAUGGGGGGUGAUUUUAUUCAUCAGAAGCCAUCUUACUUCUCCGGAUGCAUGUCUCCCUCGUGCGUUCCUGUACACGAAGAGUACUCCCGCAUUGACAUUGGCGACCGUGGCAGCAAUGGAAGAAGCAGCAGGAGAUUGAAAAGGCUGAUUAAGAAGCUUAUGAGUGAGAGCAAGAGCAUUUACGGGUCCAAACCUACAAGAUUCCAUUAUGAUGCCGUUAGCUACUCGCAGAAUUUUGAUGAGGGAUGCCACAAAGAUGAAUAUCCAAGGUGCCAGCAAGUGUUUCAAGAAUUUAGAUGCCAUGUACAGCACAAGUAAUUUUGAUUUCUGUUUAUUUUGAUUUCUUCGACUGGAUUGCUUAGAUAUACUACUGUUAUUUAAUAUCCUCUAGGUAGCUAGGAGCCCGGGAUAGCUCUGAUUGAGUUGGAACUACGAAGCAUAUGUAUUUUCAGUCUAAUUAUUAGGGUCUGAUAAUAAUUGCGGGGGUCUCAUGCUUACAGUCAUAAUCUUGUGGACGUUUUACAAAAUUUGGGAGAAUUAAUCUCCCAGAGCGAUGAAACCGUUGGUGUACAAUAUGGAAGAUUGCCAAAUAAAAAAAAAAGGUGAAAUGGAAGCAAUGCUAGUUUUUGCACAA